UUUCUGUAUUCAAGCCUGAAGUUAGACAAAAAGGAUGUUAUUAUAGCAUUCAAAAAUAAUAUUUUCUAUCUUGUCCAAUGUCAUUGGCCUUCUGUGAUGCCAUUUUAGCUUAUUGAACCAGAAGACAUUUGUCUGUUUAAAAUAUUUAAAGUGUGGUUAUUUCAGACAGACAAAAGAGCACUGUUUUAUCUAGAAGUUCCACUGGGAAUUCAUACUGACAGGGACAAGCCAUUAGCCACAGUCAAGAUAUGAAUAUGCUUGGCCUUCUCAUUGAAAAAGAAGGUAGAGGAGAAUAUUUACAUAGACGUACUUCUUUUGUUUCUCAAAAAGAGAAGACUCCUCUCCAUGAAAAAGUGUGGAAUUAGAAUAUGAGGCAGAAUGUUUAAAGUAAUUUGGAAUAGGAUCUUAUGCCUGUAAAAAGUAGGCUUUUUUUCUCAAUUGGCAAUUGUUAUUGUUACUUUUACACUUCCAUACAUUGUUUCUAGAUGUCCUAGAAAUGUUUUGUAUGCCAUAUACUUUGCAUGUUUCAUAACUUAUCACUUGUCAUGUGUUGAAUUGAAAAAGUAGUUGAUCAUACUUCCAGUUCUUUCCUUGUUUAAGCUUUGACAUUGCUUUAAAAUGUGAGAAAUAUCAUCCAGACAGUAUAAUUCAUUCAUGUUUUGGUUUUGACUCCUGAAGAAACAGUUUGUGGAAUUCAUAGAUUCAUGUAGUCCCUUAUAUUUCAACUUUGUCUUUAAAAUUUCUGUCACCUGGAGUUCCUUCCCUGGAUCUUUGCCUCUAACUCUGGCACUAAAACCAUGUCACAUUAAGGAUAACCAACACAUUGAAACAUUUUUAUCUACCAAUUCAGUCAAAAAGCGUUAUCAUAAGAAUUUUGCUGGAUUCUGUGUAGCAGUUGAGCAAACAGAUGGAUUGUUUUUUAUUUGUUCUUUUGGAAUGGAUAAUUCUUUUAAUAAUGCAAGAAGUAUGUUCUAUUUUCAGUUACAUUUUUCUGAGUCAAGAGCUAUUCCAUUGUUUGUGUCAAUGGGAUUUAAUCCAAUGAGAAGACUACAUUAAAUGUAUUUUUAAUUCCUUUGAAUUAAACACCAUACUGUGUUGUUUCAUGUGCUUUCAUGUCUGUCAGAUAUUUUGUAUAAAAAGUAUGGGAGGAAUAAACUGGAACAUAAAUGUAUCCAAUUAGAGUUCUGCUUUGCGGCGUAUUGACCUGAAAGCUAGAUUAUCCAAUGUAAAACAGGAAAUUUUUCCAGAACCUUGCAAGAUGAGGUAAUACUUAGCACUUUUGAGGAGGGAAAAAUGCACAGAUCACCAAAACGUAAAUUAUUAAAUUUAAGCAAUCGCUGCUUAAAUCAAAUUAAGGUUGUAGUUGAUAACAUGAUUGCAGUCUCUCUACCCCCAAAUAUUUUAAAUUACACUAGAAGAGGAAGAUUGUUUGUUUGUUUGUUUGUUUGUUUGUUUGUUUUUCAUUUGCACUAAAGGGAAAAUAUUUUCUCCAGUGAAUGAAGUCUGUGAUUUAGUAACUUUGCCACCACGCAUGGAUUGUUCUGGGUAUUGUUUUUUUCCAUACAGAUUUCUUGCAUGUUACUUUUUUUGCCAUCCCUAGAAUUCAUUAUAUUUACCUAUUCUUCUGUAUACUUCUAUGCAAAGAUGCUGAGAGUUUUUGACAGUCUUUCUUGACUGAUAUUGAUUUUAUCUGCAGUAUCUGCUAUUCAUUAUGUGACUGACCGAAUGUCUACUAGAGUCUUUGAUGUCUUUGACUGACUUUGAUGGAUCAUGAGCUUUGUAUUGUGAAAUAGGAACAAAUGCACUAAUUCCUCAAUUCCCUGAAGCAUUUAUGUUUUAAAAUUUGAUUGCUCACAACAUUAACAGCAAGAAAUCUUUAUCUGGUAAUUUCUGUUAACUUCUUAUAAGGUUGAUCUCAAAAUUAUAGAUGUAGAAACUUAGGUCCUUCAAGACCUAAGUCCAAGAAUAAGAAUUGGAGAAUUGGAGUUUUUUUCAAUAAAAACUCAUCACUAAUUCAGCAUUAAAUGAAGAACCAUGUAAAAUACUAAGUUUUAUGUUGUCUUUCUGCAUAUUUUUUUUUUUCAAAUAAUCAAAAAGUCAAAUUGGUAGACUGGUAUCUGACAAAAAUGUUGCAAAACUUGUUUUGCACUGCUAUUCCCCAAAUCCCUGUUAUUUGGUGUUAGACGACCAUUCACAUUUUCGGAAAUUAAGUGAAGGCAAAUAGUUCUUUCAAAUUCUUAUGACCUUAGCCAAUAAACACAUUUCAUCACUAUGGUUGCAAAAAACAAAUACCCACUAUUGCACUGUGUUUCACAGGCGCAUAAGAAUUAGUUGACAUGGAAGGAUUUGUUCUCUGAUACUGAGUCAAAACCUGACUUCUUAAGGGAGAAAGAGUGAAAGUAGGGCAAUAUGAUUAGAUGAAAUCCUGGGUAUAAUAUUUUAUUCUUGAUGUGGGUUUAUAUUUGAUCAGUUUUGAUAUAUUCUUUCAAGAAAAAAUGUCUGCUCAGAGCCCUACUUUGAGUAUACAAACAGUGCUUGAGCAAUGACAGAUGAACUGUUUCAUGACAUCUUUUCCAGUUGACUUAAUCAUUACAUUCUUUGUGUAUUUGGCCUGUAGAGGGGAAAAAAAGCAGGUAAAACAAAGUAAAAAGUCCUGAUGUGGAAUCCAUGUGGGGGGCAAUAGAAUUAAAUAUUAAGAAGAGAUGGAACAGGGCAGGAAUUAAUCUAAGUAUUUAAAAAACAUUGCAGUAGAAAUGUCAGUGUUGCAAAGUCAGGAGCUUAAUAAUUAAUAUUUAGGGUCCUUAUGGAAUAUCAGUGGAGCUGCACAUAAGUUAUGAUUCAGAUUUUAAUUACAGAGAAAUACUAGCUUUUCUAAAAAAAAUAUCCCAAAUAAAUUCAGUACACAAAUGCACAGUAUUUGUUUAAAUUCCAUAGUUUAAAGUGGAUCAGAGAUUUGUUUGCUAGCUUUGGCUAAACACAUUUUGAGGAAAGAAGACUGUGUUUCUCCAUAGAUUUUCAGAAUAGUUAUUCCAUAUAAUAGUUUUGGGUGCAGACUUUGCACACACACAGCUAGCCAAGAAUUCCCAGUUUCCAAUGCUUGACUUUCCCACCCAGGAAAGACUUAGAAAAAAAUCUAAUAGGGCAGAAGAGUCUGCACUAAUCUAUUCACACCUGACCACCCUUUUUUAGCCUCUUAUCUUUCUUUUCCCACACUUGUUCCACCAUAAACCAUCUACUUCCCCUUUUCUCCAUCUUCUUUCCUUUAACAUCCUGCAGAGUUCUUGUGCAGUCCCAAAACACUCUUCCCCUGAGUCCCAUGGCAUAUCCCUGGACAGAGGGCCUGUGGCUGUACCUCACCAGUCCUGGAGAGGGCCCAGAUAAAUUGUCUGCUCCUUGGGAGUCUUUAAUCUGGGUUCCAUUGUGCCAUUGUGCCCCUCUGCACUCCUGGGGCUGGUGGGGAUGGGCUGUUAAUGGGUUGAUGACUCCUGUGAUGGGCCUUUGUCUCCCUGGACUCCUUUG
rnacentral:lncRNA from 1 species